rnacentral:misc_RNA from 1 species
UGGAAGCCUUGAAGAUUCAGCCUGUUAUAAGGGAUGUGUUUCAAUUUGUCAUUUGGGUAACUGUUCCCAAGAUUUUAAAUCUGACAGAGUUGCGGCUAGAAAUUGCAAGACAAUUGCCUUUGUCUGAUAAAAAGUCUAUAUACAGAGAGACUCUUUUGAGUUUUCUAAAGCGCGUCAAGUUUUUUCUGAUUCUGGAUGGUGUUCAUGAGUUUAUUGACUUGAACACAGUGGGAAUCCCUAAGCCAACUCCAGAAAAUGGGUGCAAG